UAACUUUACUUGGCUUUAUCUUGCACUAAACGUUACUACCUUCAUCCUGUAUGUGUACACUGCAGACAACUUGAUUGUCAUCAUGUAUAGUCUUUUCGCUGACAGUAUGCAACAAAUAAGCUAUAUAAUAAACUAAAACCAAAAGUACAUUGUCAUAUUCUGCACUCUCUCCAAAUCUACCACAGUCUGUUAUUAGCAUCUGGGGCCACUACUGUGCCUGCUGUUCUUCAGGACUGCUGUUCGACCACUUCAGUUGGCUCCAGGAGGGGUUUCUUUUUAUUUCUUACGGCUGGACAAACUUCCUGUUUGUUCAGUUAUAAUUUCCUUUUCCAAGCAUUUUUUAAUCUUCAACAGGCAUGCAUGUACAUGCACCUUAUCUAAUCUCAAACUAUGAAAUUGCCUUCCACAUCUAAGACAUUGUCACGUAGUGCUUCACCUUUAAAUAGGCUUCCAUUGUGUCUCUAAAAUCAAGCUAGUUGGUUGCCAUGAAUGAGCCUCCCCCCACAAAACCCAUUGCUAUUGAUUGGUCCAAUUUGUUGGAGGGCUUCAUGUUCAUCUCAUCCUUUUGUGGGAUGUGAACACUUGCAUUGUAAACAUUCCAUUUGCCCUCCUUGUUUCUUCUUUAAUAUUCUUUGUGAUAUUCUGAUUUGAUUACUUCAGUUUUCUCAAUCCAAAUUGUUGUGCUCAUCUAUGCUUUACUGCCUUUAUCUUAACCGAUAGCUGUUUCAGUUAAUUUAUUGUCACGUGUACCAAGGUACAGCAAAAAGCUUUUGUUGUGUGCUAACCAGUCAGCGGAAAGACCAUACAUGAUUACAAUUAAGCCAUUUGCCGUGUAUAGAUACAAUGCCGACCCAUCAUUCUUGUCCCUGCAUUGCACUCAAACCUUCAAUGCUUCAAAUAUUACUUCUAAAGUUUCUAUUUUACAUCAGCAUAACCCUACUUCCUAUCUAAUUUGCCUGAUGUUAUAACCCAACAUUGUGUCUUGGGCAUGUAUUUCCAUUUUUCACCCCAACUAUGGAAACUUUGCCAUCAUUUGCUCGGGGUUCUUUUGAAAUUCUAUCUUUUUCCAAGAUGCUCUUUCAUUGUCUUUUCACCAAACUUUCUGUUAUUGGCACUGUCCUUUUCUGGUGUAAUUUUCAGUGAACAUAAGGUUCUUAGAAUAUCGUUCCUUAUUUCUAAAUUAGGGGUGAAGAAUAAAAACAAUCGCUAUGUUAAUAGCUGCAUACAGAGUGCAUUUUCUAAAUUUAUAUUUGAAAACACAUUAAGGCACAUCAAUUGUUUGAUGGAACAGUGUUAUUCCAUUGCUUUUUGCAAUACAAUUAAAAAUCAUGCAUGGAAACGUAUUUCAUUGUAUAAAAAGUAUUGAUCGGUCCUUUGGAAGUUCACUUCUUUUUUUAAAAGGUUGGGAAUUUUGUUGGGAUAAAUGGCUUACGGUAUUAAAGUACAAGUUAUGCAAUCUUGGUUGCUCUGUAUGGGUAGACAAGAUGUAAAGUCAAUUGCAUUAGUGUUUUUAGUUGGGGAAAGAAUAGGCUGCACAUGAUCAAUCUGUACAUCAGCCAACUCUAAACAAUUAUUUCAGAAUUCUUUCAGAGGCUGUAAUCACCCUCUGGAAUUUGUAAGUUAUUUAAUGUAUUUCAUGCCUACUUCUUUUGGAUCAAUGAACAAAAAAUAAUAUUGUAAUUUAUGCCUGCCAUUGGCAAAAUGUAUUCAUAUCCAGCUUCUAUAACAUACUCAAGGAUGAAAUGUUUUAAAGGAAUGUUGACUUUAAGACUGAUUGGUACAUAUUUCACACAAACAAAUAUCUGAAAUAAAACAUUUGUUGAAAAUAGUCAGCAGAUAAGGCAGCAUCCAUGGGGAGAGAGUGAAAGUAGGUUAACACUUAUAAUUGAAGACUAUCAUAAGGAAUAG